rnacentral:rRNA from 1 species
UACGAAGGGGGCGAGCGUUGUUCGGAAUUAUUGGGCGUAAAGGGCGCGUAGGCGGACCUGUAAGUCGAUUGUGAAAUACCUGGGCUUAACCCGGGAACUGCAGUCGAUACUGCAAGUCUUGAAUGCUCGAGAGGAUGGUAGAAUUCCAGGUGUAGAGGUGAAAUUCGUAGAUAUCUGGAGGAAUACCGGAGGCGAAAGCGGCCAUCUGGCGAGACAUUGACGCUGAGGCGCGAAAGCGUGGGGAUCAAACAGG